rnacentral:lncRNA from 1 species
GAAUCUCCUAUCAGGAAAAUCAAAAGAUUUAUGUUGAAUCAUAAUCCUCAGUAAAAUGUUCAAAACUUUGCUGAUCUUCACAGGUCCAAAAGAAAGUCGGCGAGUCUCUUCCAAGCCCAGAGCAUCACCAAGUCCAGAUGUACCACACACAAAACCUGUUUUGGCACCUACAACAUUUACAGUUGAACAACCAAAGACAGCAACAGCUCCUAAAGAACCACAACGUACUCCCUUUAAACCUAAAGCAACUCCCAUCCCAGAUGUUCCACACAGCAAGCCUGGUAAAUUAUUUGGUCUUUUGUCAAGCUGCGGUUGAUAGUUGAGCAGGGUGGGCAGGGGGAGUUGUCAG